AGCCUGUGAUGACUUAGAUUAUAAGAGUAGUGGACAGAACCAGGUUUCUGAAAACUUCACUCUGAGGCU